UGACUAUUGCAUGCUUGGAGGAUCUAGU
rnacentral:piRNA from 1 species